UGGGGAAUAUUGGACAAUGGGCGAAAGCCUGAUCCAGCCAUGCCGCGUGAGUGAUGAAGGCCCUAGGGUUGUAAAGCUAUUUCACCGGUGAAGAUAAUGACGGUAACCGGAGAAGAAGCCCCGGCUAACUUCGUGCCAGCAGCCGCGGUAAUACGAAGGGGGCUAGCGUUGUUCGGAAUUACUGGGCGUAAAGCGCACGUAGGCGGAUAUUUAAGUCAGGGGUGAAAUCCCGGGGCUCAACCCCGGAACUGCCUUUGAUACUGGGUAUCUCGAGUCCGAGAGAGGUGGGUGGAAUUCCGGGUGUAGAGGUGAAAUUCGUAGAUAUUCGGAGGAACACCAGUGGAGAAGGCGGCUCACUGGCUCGGUACUGACGCUGAGGUGCGAAAGCGUGGGGAGCAAACAGG
rnacentral:rRNA from 1 species